UAGACAAGGUAAAGAAUUAAGUGCUGU
rnacentral:piRNA from 1 species